rnacentral:rRNA from 1 species
GAUGAACGCUGGCGGCGUGCCUAAUACAUGCAAGUCGAGCGAACAGAUAAGGAGCUUGCUCCUUUGACGUUAGCGGCGGACGGGUGAGUAACACGUGGGUAACCUACCUAUAAGACUGGGAUAACUUCGGGAAACCGGAGCUAAUACCGGAUAACAUUUGGAACCGCAUGGUUCUAAAGUGAAAGAUGGUUUUGCUAUCACUUAUAGAUGGACCCGCGCCGUAUUAGCUAGUUGGUAAGGUAACGGCUUACCAAGGCAACGAUACGUAGCCGACCUGAGAGGGUGAUCGGCCACACUGGAACUGAGACACGGUCCAGACUCCUACGGGAGGCAGCAGUAGGGAAUCUUCCGCAAUGGGCGAAAGCCUGACGGAGCAACGCCGCGUGAGUGAUGAAGGGUUUCGGCUCGUAUAACUCUGUUAUUAGGGAAGAACAAACGUGUAAGUAACUGUGCACGUCUUGACGGUACCUAAUCAGAAAGCCACGGCUAACUACGUG